UACGUAGGGAGCAAGCGUUGUCCGGAAUCAUUGGGCGUAAAGCGCGCGUAGGUGGCCAUGUAAGUCCACUGUGAAAGUCAAAGGCUCAACCUUUGAAAGCCGGUGGAUACUGCAUGGCUAGAGUACGGAAGAGGCGAGUGGAAUUCCUGGUGUAGCGGUGGAAUGCGCAGAUAUCAGGAGGAACACCAAUAGCGAAGGCAGCUCGCUGGGACGUUACUGACACUGAGGCGCGAAAGCGUGGGGAGCGAACAGG
rnacentral:rRNA from 1 species